rnacentral:misc_RNA from 1 species
GGAAUAAAGUUUCUAAUAUUGUUCCUUUUACAUUACAUACUUAUUAAUGAAAGAACAAAAAUAGAUUUAAGAGGUUGAACUCAAUUAGUGUUCAACUUUCAUUUCAAGUUAUUUUACAUAGUGAACAUCUGAAUUUAGGGUUAUUCUUCAUGAAAAAUAUAGAUAUUUAUUUAUCCAAUGUUUGAGGAUGGCUUUAAUGUAAUGGUAAAGUU